rnacentral:rRNA from 1 species
CCCUUAGAUGUUCUGGGCCGCACGCGCGCUACAAUGAUGAAUUCAGCGAGUUUAUAACCUUGGUUGAAAAGCCUGGGUAAUCUUUUGAACUUUCGUCGUGAUGGGGCUAGACCCUUGCAAUUAUUGGUCUCCAACGAGGAAUUCCUAGUAAACGCAAGUCAUCAGCCUGCAUUGAUUACGUCCCUGCCCUUUGUACACACCGCCCGUCGCACCUACCGAUUGAAUGGUCCGGUGAAAUCUUCGGAUUGAGACUUUGAUUUCUUCACGGAAAACGCUGUUUUAAAAAGUUGAUUAAACCUUACCAUUUAGAGGAAGGUGAAGUCGUAACA